AUUGAACGCUGGCGGCAGGCCUAACACAUGCAAGUCGAGCGGAGCGGCGGACGGGUGAGUAAUGCCUAAGAAUCUGCCUGGUAGUGGGGGAUAACGUCCGGAAACGGGCGCUAAUACCGCAUACUAUCAGAUGAGACUCGGUGGGAUUAGAGAGUUGGUGGGGUAACGGCCUACCACGGCGAAGAUCCGUAACUGGUAUGAGAGGAUGAUCCGUCACACUGGAACUGAGACACGGUCCAGACUCCUACGGGAGGCAGCAGUGGGGAAUAUGGGACAAUGGGCGAAAGCCUGAUCCAGCCAUGCCGCGUGUAUGAAGAAGGCCUUCGGUUUGUAAAGUACUUUCAGCGAGUAGGCGUUACUCGCAGAAGAAGCACCGGCUAACUCCGUGCCAGCAGCCGCGGUAAUUC
rnacentral:rRNA from 1 species